CAGUCGCCACGGUAAUACGGAGGAUCCAAGCGUUAUCCGGAAUCAUUGGGUUUAAAGGGUCCGUAGGCGGUCUUGUAAGUCAGUGGUGAAAGCCCAUCGCUCAACGGUGGAACGGCCAUUGAUACUGCAUGACUUGAAUUAUUGGGAAGUAACUAGAAUAUGUAGUGUAGCGGUGAAAUGCUUAGAGAUUACAUGGAAUACCAAUUGCGAAGGCAGGUUACUACCAAUUGAUUGACGCUGAUGGACGAAAGCGUGGGUAGCGAACAGGAUUAGAUACCCGCGUAGUCCCUGUCUCUUAUAC
rnacentral:rRNA from 1 species